AGGGGCAAAACUGGCUGGGGACGUGCAUGGCGAGCCCCCCGGCAGAGGGCCCCUCACUUGGCCCGAGUGUGUGGAGGCCGUGGCCAUAAACAAUGAACUUUGAACCCCCCCGCCCCUUCCCUAUGUAUACAUUAUCUGUCAAGUUGAUGGUGUAAAUAGUUUGAAGACGUCGUUUGUACGCUGCUGUGUAUAUAUGUGAACCACUCGACCCACUAUAGAUGUAGAUAUAGUGCCGCUUGGGAUGGGGAGCUGGAUGCUGGCGCCCACCAUGUGUCCACUUCAGAGCUGCUUUAAAGUACGAGGGGCCCCACCCUCACGUCCAUGAGUCAUGAACAACCUCUGUGAUCCCUCCUAAUGAUAAUAUAUAACUUGUAUAUUUUGCACACUAACUUAUUAUCCAUGUCUCCCUAUGGUGAGCCUCUAUUGUUGUUGUCCGACCCCACCCCUCCCAUAAAUAAACAUUCCAAUUCAAUCA